AUAGUUUGAUUCUAACUAAAUUAUUAAUUCUUAUUUUAUACCUCAUGUAAAUCAUAUCUAAAAGUACAAAAUUAAUAUAACAUUUAUGAAUAAUUUAAAUUUACAGUGGUUAAAACUAAUCAAUAUACGAAAGUAUGAACUGGUAAAAAUAUAUUAUAUUGGCCAAAUUCGUGCCAGCAGCCGCGGUUAGACGAAAAAUUUUUAAUAAUAAAACCUCUUAAAGAUAAAAUAUACAAUACUAAUAGGUUAAAUUAAAACUUAUUUUGUUCCUUAUUUGUCUUUAAUAAACUAUUUAUUAAAACAAGGAUUAGAUACCCUUUUAUUAAUAGCCUAUAUAAGGAGGUGGAAAAUACGAACAACAGUUUAAACACCAAAGAAUUUGGCGGUGUCUUACUAUAUUAGGGGAACCUGUCCCUUAAAUCGAUAAUCCACGAAAGUCUUACCUAAUUUUGAAACUCAGUUAGUGUACUGCCGUCUCAAGUAUACCUUUAUGAGAGUAUACAAUUAAUUACUCAAUAAAACGUCAGGUCAAAGUGCAGCUUAUAGUUAGGAGGAGAUGGGUUACAACCUAAAUAAAGAAUAUGGAUAAGGAUAAUAAACUAUCCUUUGAAGGUGGACUUAACAGUAAUUAUUAAUACUAUAAUGAAAAUUAUAUAAGACAAGUACAAAUCGCCCGUCACUCCCUCAGGGAUAAGUCGUAACAUAGUUGAUGUAACGGAAGUUGCAUCUGU
rnacentral:ncRNA from 1 species